rnacentral:tRNA from 1 species
GGCUGCGUAGCAAAGUGGUUAUGCAGCGGCCUGCAAAGCCGUACACGCCGGUUCGAUUCCGGCCGCAGCCU